UCGACAUCCGAAGUACUCGUCCCACCCACAGCAUUAAUCUUUGCUGGCAUACCUUGGAACUCAGAAGUGCGAUGUUUAAGCUAAUUUAAAAGUGCGUGGGAAGCUACUUGGUAAAUUUUGCAAAGCAUUCGUCUGUCGACAAAGUAAAGAUAUCCCAGUGUUAGAAGUUUGACGCACUUUCUAACAAAUUCAAUCCGAACCUCGGCUUUCCCACAAUUCCAACGCACCAAUGGAAAAGUUGAACUUUAGCAGGAUUUUUUUCCGGCUUACUGCCAGUUUUUGCAGUUUUUCGAGAUAAAAAUUAAAUUAAGUCAUUCGUCUACAUAUGGGGUCCUCACAAUUUGAAUUGACUUCGCAGCCAAGAACCUCGACUCACGCACCUCCAAGGUUUCUUGGGUUACUAGGAAUCAUUCCAACACGAAAUUUUGCCAAGCGUAUAAUACAGAAGCAAUCGGCAUCUAGAAUGAUUCCUCUGCUCUCUACCCAACUACUGGGGACCUAUUCCGGCACAUUUGAUACCCCUUUCUUCGAGCAACACCCCAUCGCUUGGAAUUCUAAGAAAGAGCGCUUUACGAUAUCUCACGCAACGUCGUGUAAAUUAUAUUGGUUCAACAUAAUUAUUAUGUUAUUCUUGGUAAAUGGCGGUUUCACAAUUGUCAUCCUAUCGAAAGCGGCUGUUUCAGGUCCAAAUUCCGCCUGGAUUAGAAUUUUCUUUCCAUUACUUACCUGGGUGAUGGGUGCUCUGUUUAUGUUCGUCCUGAAUACAGCCCAAUACGCUCAAGAUGUGACAAACUUGAUCGAAAACUUGGUAACAUUAGAACGUCGAGUUCUACAUGGUCAGAUAUUUAGGAAUUUUGCAAUUAAGGCAUGUCCAGGGUUAAGUUGGAAAAGGCUACUUUAAAUCGUACUGCGCAAUUCGUCAAGAUUUUUGUCCCGCUAUAUUGUUUUUUUGAGACGCAAUUUCAAGAACAACUAGCAGGUAUAAAGCAGUUUUUGUAAAAAUGGUGAAAUUCAAUAGCAAUCUGGCUAAAAGUACAAGCCUCGCGAAUCGAGUUUUUUCAAACCCAGAAAAACGUUGCUUGAUGUGACUCGAACAAGACGUGGCAACACUUCAAAACGGCAGAAUGUCCCAAAAUGAGAAUCUACCUUUAUAUUUCGAAGUAUAAGGAUGCUGAAAAGUGCAAUUUCAAAAAAAAUUUCAGGCAACCUCUUGUCAUACCCACCGAUUAAAAAGUGAAAGUCAUUUAAAAUUUCUUUAUCACUAACUCGUCUCAGUCAAGGCGUGGCUGUGCACAAAUACUGAAAAUUUCAAAAAGUUUAUUUCACAAUAUUAAAGUACAUAAACUGAGGGUCACAGAAAAAAUAAACCAAGUUUCUCAAAGUAUGUUAAAGCCCAAAAAAUCACCGUCCAAAAAUGUGGCAAAAAACUGUGUCACCAAAUGUCAUUAAAAAUAAUCAUCAUUUAUGACAACAACUGCGACAAAGUUGAUCCCUCAAAGACUUUGAAAAACACAUUUUUUCACUCAGGCAACCUGGUAAGUGUAGAUUAUCGACAGAAGUUGUGCAUGGAAUCUAUAUUCUCUGCAAAAUUCCAACCAAGGCUUACAUUGAGCCAAGUGGAUUUAAAAAAAGAAAACCCUCCAAAUGUCCCUAUUUCUGAGAAAUCGAAAAGUUUUGAGCCUAAUGCAAAACAAGGUACUCUAAAGUUCACUAGAAAGCGAAAAAGCUGGCUGGAUUCGAACGUUAAUUGCAAAAAAUCAGCCGAGACAUCUCGCAAACGGGUGGAAAAUCGCUUAUUUGAGGGUUGGUGCGGAAAGUCGGAUUGGUGGCCAAGCAAGGGCUGCGACAAAUCUUCCGCGACAAAACCUGGUUGGCAUGAUUACCACCUACACUGUAAUGAAGGUUUUUUUAAAAUUUUCUUAUUAGGACGAAUUCCAGAGGUCAUGAUUCCCAUUCCAACUUAAGCCUGGACACCCUAUAUGCAGUAAGAUUCGCCCCUUCGCAUCCUGGAAAGUGUGUCCCGCUAUAAAAAUUUAAUUCUCACGUUGAGAAUACAAGGCCUCCUCUUUGUCCCACUUUCUUUUGUUAUCGCUGGACUUGGUGUAUAUCUAAAGAUGUGCCCACAUGGCUUCCUCCUCGAACAAUGGUACGGCCCAUAUCUCGAGAAUCAUAACUGGACUCGAUGGACGGUACGUUUGAUCAGCUACGUCGCAAUGACAAUAGCAUGGGUGGAGUACGACCAAGCGACCUCGAUCUUUCUAGCCUUCCUAACAACGAUUGUAUUUACUUGGGAAAGAAUUGCAAACCUGACAAGCCAAUUUCCCACGCAGAAUGGGACACAAUUUGCCAACGUUGUCAGUAACUACAGGCAGCUCCAUCUGACCGGGAAGAUUGGGAGGAACUUCGUUAUGUCGAUGGUACUGGGGACGCUGUCGACUAUAUCCACGCUUUUGUCAGGCUUCAUAUAUGUUACGAUUAAAUUGUAUGGGAAGAUGCCGAUGAAGGUGUAUCCCCUAGCUCCGUAUGUAUGUUUAGUCACAUUAUUUUUGACGUAUUUCCUCCUGAGGGCGCUUGAGGGGGUGAAUAAGAUGUGUGUGAAGGGAUUGGCAAAUUUGAGCCAGGGUAGAAAUCGUAGGUCGCUGGAGAAACGGGUGGCAAAUUCUAUCCCGGUGUUUGCAAUCCCAUGCGGGAGACGAGGGUAUGAGAUGUUUAAAAUAGAGGAUGGUUAUAGGUUGGGGUUUUAUGCUAUAGUGCUUGACAUUACGUGGAACUUGCUGUUGUCAUUCCCCACCGUGUAGGAAUUGUCGUCACAUUCAGGGUAAGAAAUUCUCCGCAGAUUUCUAUUGAACACUCGUGACGAGGGUAUUACCCGAAAG